UGAACGCUGGCGGGCGAGCCUAAACCUGCAAUUCGGGGCGAAUGGAAUCUGAUAGCCUUGGUAUCCAGGAAGUUAGCGGCGGACGGGUGAGUAACACGUGGGUAACCUGCCCAUAAGACUGGGAUAACUCCGGGAAACCGGGGCUAAUACCGGAUAACAUUUUGAACUGCAUGGUUCGAAAUUGAAAGGCGGCUUCNGCUGUCACUUAUGGAUGGACCCGCGUCGCAUUAGCUAGUUGGUGAGGUGACGGCUCACCAAGGCAACAAUGCGUAGCCCCACCUGAAAAGGGGAGCGGGCACUUUGGGACUAAGACCCCGUCCGAACUUCUUCGGGAGGGAGGAAUUUGGAAUCUUCCCCAAUGGACGAAAGUCUGACGGAGCAACGCCGCGUGAGUGAUGAAGGCUUUCGGGUCGUAAAACUCUGUUGUUAGGGAAGAACAAGUGCUAGUUGAAUAAGCUGGCACCUUGACGGUACCUAACCAGAAAGCCACGGCUAACUACGUGCCAGCAGCCGCGG
rnacentral:rRNA from 1 species